rnacentral:rRNA from 1 species
AUUGAACGCUAGCGGGAUGCCUUACACAUGCAAGUCGAACGAGUGGCGAACGGGUGAGUAAUGUAUCGGAACGUGCCCAGUAGCGGGGGAUAACUUCGCGAAACGUAGCUAAUACCGCAUACUAUUGGAGCGGCCGAUCGCGGCUUAGCUAGUUGGUGGGGUAACGGCCCACCAAGGCCACGAUCCGGAGCUGGGUUGAGAGGACGACCAGCCACCAUGUGACGGUGACACGGCCCAGAGUCCUACGGGAGGCAGCAGUGGGGAAUUUUGGACAAUGGGGGAAACCCUGAUACAGCCAUCCCGCGUGUGCGAUGAAGGCCUGCGGGGUGUAAAGCACUUUUGGCAGGAAAGCGGUACCUGCAGAAUAAGCACCGGCUAACUACGUGCCAGCAGCCGCGGUAAUAC